GAUGAACGCUGGCGGCGUGCCUAAUACAUGCAAGUCGAGCGAAGCGGGGACGGGGGAGUAACACGUGGAUAACCUCCUAUAAGACUGAGAUAACUUCGGGAAACCAGAGCUAAACCGGAUACAUAUGUAUGUAUCCGCGUUGCAUUAGCUAGUUGGUAAGGUAACGGCUUAACAAGGCAACGAUGCAUAGCCGACCUGAGAGGGUGCUCGUCCACACUGGAACUGAGCCACGGUCCAGACGCCUACGGGAGGCAGCAGUAGGGAAUCUUCCGCAAUGGGCGAAAGCCUGACGGAGCAACGCCGCGUGAGUGAUGAAGGUCUUCGGAUCGUAAAACUCUUUUAUUAGGGAAGCGGUACCUAAUCAGAAAGCCACGGCUAACUACGUGCCAGCAGCCGCGGUAAUUC
rnacentral:rRNA from 1 species